GACGUAGGGCGCGAGCGUUGUCCGGAUUUAUUGGGCGUAAAGAGCUCGUAGGCGGCUCAUUGCGUCAACCGUGAAAACCAGCAGCUCAACUGUUGGCUUGCGGUUGAUACGGGUGGGCUGGAGUUCUGUAGGGGGGACUGGAAUUCCUGGUGUAGCGGUGAAAUGCGCAGAUAUCAGGAGGAACACCGAUGGCGAAGGCAGGUCUCUGGGCAUUAACUGACGCUGAGGAGCGAAAGCAUGGGGAGCGAACAGG
rnacentral:rRNA from 1 species